rnacentral:siRNA from 1 species
UUCCAUGACUCAUUGGAUGGAGCU